CAGCAUUUGGCCCUGCGCAGCCUUUCAGAUCCCUGGAAGUGAGAAGAUUGCUGAUCCGUGCACUGGAGUUGGGCAAGACCGUGGGACCCGCCGCAGCCAACGGGACAAGAGCAGAAUUCACAAAGUCUUCAUUUCCACAGUUGGGAAGACAGCACAACACCUUAGUUACUGGAGCAGUGGAUAUCUACAAGCGUAAAGACACUGUGAAGUGCCUGGUUACGUCUGCUGGGCGCCAAGUGCAGCACUGAACACACUUUACCAGUUGCACUUAGUCAUCACUCUGCAAUGACGGAGAACCUAAACAGAGUGGGAUCCUACUGGAACAGGAGGAAGCAACAGUACUGCCUCUAACGUCUGAGCGAGGAUGCGCCAGGUGCUGGGUGAGCCCAUUUUGGCUGCUUUCUUUCGCUUUGAGACAGCGCCGUCAAACCAGGAAGUUGGAAGCUGAAGCCCAUGGUUUGCAAACAUGGGAAAAAUAAAAACAUU
rnacentral:lncRNA from 1 species